rnacentral:lncRNA from 7 species
ACUGCAGGGGGUUGGGGUGUGUAGAGAACAGAACCCCACUGUUAGCAGCAGCGAUGGGUCUCAGACAGACAGAGCUCCGUGUCUGUGCUCACAGUGAUCAGAUCUGAGUCUGAGAACGCUGGAGAAGAGAAAUAAUCACCGCGAGGUCCCGGCCUCCCUGCAAAUUUCUUGAAGGAUUUUGGAUUUGGAAGAGCAGCACCUGAGCUCCUGGAGGCCCCAGCGGCUGCCAUGGGGAGCGGCACACAUCUGGUUUCCUUCCAGACUGCUACAGCAUGGAUGGAGCCCCCAAAGAAACCUUCAUUCCUGUCCUAAAUGCAAGCAAAUGGAGAAUGAAGAUUGCUCUUUGUUACCUCACCGCUUCGAUGGAGUUGAUACCACGCUGGGAUGGCUGCACAGCCUCAGGAGCCUCUUGGAGACCGAUGUUCUGUGAUGCUUUUUGAGUGUCACCCCACAGGCUUCUGGUGCUGGGCAGGCAAAGGCCGUGUGGGUGCAUGGCUGAGGGCACAGGAGAGGAACGCUGCAGCUUCCCUGAGCCGUGGGCAUCGCUGCAGAGAGCUGCUGUAGGGCUCAGCAGCUGAAGGGCAGCACAGCACGGCUUUCCUGCAUCCCGUGGCUGCAGACUUGCUGCUGAGGGGGGCAGCACACCCCACAGCACAGCCAGAGAGCAGUGCAAAGGAAUUCCCUCCCCCACCGGGUGUUCACUGAUCCCACCUGAGCACACAGCUCCUCCUGGGCUGCUCAGUGCUAAGCAAACCCCAUUUGUCAGAUCCCUCUCAGUAUGUUGCUGCAACACUGCUCUCACCUGCAUUGCCCCUCUCCACAGUGUCGCCUUCUUGCCAUGACUGCCAGCUAAGAGGAGGCUUAAUUUUCUGCUGGUAUUCUGCAGCUCCCUCUGCACUCUCUCCCUCUUCCUCAGUGGGUCUGCUUAGCAGUGCAUGUUGGAUGAAAUUCAUACGUUCUGUUUGUGAUUGAGUGUAAUAAACUCUGGCUCCUGUGCCUUCCAGGUGGCUUUUGGGCAU